GUAGGGAAUAUUGCGCAAUGGACGAAAGUCUGACGCAGCGACGCCGCGUGAGUGAUGAAGGCCUUAGGGUCGUAAAGCUCUGUUGAAUGGGAAGAAAAAAAUGACGGUACCAUUCGAGGAAGGACCGGCUAACUUCGUGCCAGCAGCCGCGGUAAUACGAGGGGUCCUAGCGUUGUUCGGAAUCAUUGGGCGUAAAGGGUGUGUAGGUGGCCAUGUAAGUCAGGUGUGAAAGCCCCGGGCUCAACCCGGGAAGUGCACUUGAUACUGCGUGGCUUGAGUACCGAAGAGGGUAGUGGAAUUCCAGGUGUAGUGGUGAAAUACGUAGAUAUCAGGUGGAACACCGGAGGCGAAGGCGGGUAACUGGACGAACACUGACACUGAGGCCCGAAAGCGUGGGGAUCAAACAGGAUUAGAAACCCGAGUAGUCC
rnacentral:rRNA from 1 species